rnacentral:lncRNA from 1 species
AUACACAUGUUGUAUCUAUAUAUUUCAUGCAUCACAUUUAAUAUUUAAUAAUUCAUAUUUUAAAUUAAAAUAUAUCCAAUAUACACAUCUAAUCAUUACUUUUCAUUAUCUAUUAACUAUGCACUGAGUUGGGGUGACAUUCGUAUUUCAGCCGAACUUCUUAUUUUCGUAAAUCGAUAAAAAUAUCUUCUUCGUUGAAAUAUUUUAUUUUUUGUAUGAUCUUGAAUUUUGGUAUAUAUUUAGUUCUAUUAUCAUUUACAUACCGAUAUGGAUCUAUAAGUAAAAUCCUAUUUAAUUGUUUAUGAUCUUAAAUUUCGAUAUCAAUUUAGUUUUAUUGUUAUUUUAUGUAUCGAUAUAGAUCUAUAAGUUAAAUCCUAUCUUAAAUCGACGCAUCUAAUGUUUUUUUUUUUUUUUUUUUUUUUUUUUUUUUUUUUUCUUUCGAUAAGCGAUGCCGGUAAUAGUUUUUGCAGCUUUUUGGGUCCGCAACAAGCGGGGGGGCCAAAAAGAGGAACUGGGAAAAGACGGGUUAAAGGAGGAAUGUGGGGAAAAAGCAUAAAAACACACACACACAUCUCAUGCGGGGUUCUGAAUCAAGAAGCACUUUGCCCCCUUGCAAUCACAGACAAUGGAUUGGAUGGUUGGAGCCACAAACCCGAACUCUGUUGACUUAAAUGGGCCAGCAUCUUAUCUUAUGGCGAGAGGUCAUUGUUGGGCCGCGUCAUGUUCGAAAUAACGUAAGGCUAGAUGGGUCGAGUCAUGUUCGAAAUGACGUAAGGCUAGAUCGGUCGAGUCACAAUCGAGAUCCGUGAGUGCUGUAUCUCUACGCUUUAAGUCAAUUGGUUACGUAUUUAUAACAGCUCAAGCUUUUGGGAUUAAUGGUUAGCGCCAACGAUCCGACAAACUCAAAUUCAAAUUCGAAUCCGAACUGAUAAAGAUAGAAAAGAAAAAAUGGUUGGGGGUUGGUUAAUUUAUGAAGUGUUUAAAAACAAUAAUGGCCACCGCUACUUUUUAAUUAAUUUAUGUGGUCCAUUUCGAUAUUUGAAAACAUUACAUGUGUAUAUUUUUUUAAAAAAACUCAUGAAAAACUUCCCUCCGUUAUUACCAUGCUCUACAGCAGAACCAAACAAACACUAUAAAGUGGUGGAUUUAGAUCGGAGUCGACGCGAUCCAACCCCGACCUAACCCUACUCCAGAUAAAUCAUGUACAACGAGUUCUUUAUUUCCCAUGUUAGGUUGUCCCCACAUUUAUUUAUUUAUUUAUUUAUUUCUCUCUUUUGCUUCGUUCCACAUAAUAUUUUAGAUUCUUUUACGGUUCAAAAUCUUAGUAAGUUUUGAUGUAGUAUUUAUAAAUUUACGUACCUUGACAUGGAGCAAAUACGAUUAAUCGUGGUCCCUUAGAGUAGAUUCUUCCUGCAUUUAAGAAUAUAAUAUUUUUUUUACCGUAACUUUUGGGUAAGUUAUUACAUUUUGAAGUUCCUGAACUAUUGCAUAUAAGUUUUAUUUAUUUAUUUAGAUAAGCUAACUUAAAAAUCACACAUUUUGAAUUUUGUCAUUUAUAAUUAAAAUUUUUUAACUUUACUAUCUUAUAUUUUUAGAUACUUUUGAUGUAGAAAAGCAUUGGCGGAGUUUAUCAUCAUCACCACUAAAAUAGUUAAAAAUUAUGCAUGCUAAAUUCCUAAGUUAUUAUGGAAUAUAAUUCAAUUCCACGGACUUUUACAAAAGAAAAGUUUAGAAUUUGGGGGCUUGAGGAUUGUUUUUAAAUUAUUUGAAAAGUUAGGGACAUGUGUAGAAAUCAUCCUUUUUCUUUGGAAAAAAUAGGGUAAACUUUAAAUACUCCCUCUGUGAUUUCAUACUUUCUCACUUUAGUAUCCUGUGGUUUUAUUUUUCUCUUUUUAUUAUCUAUUUUACUAAUUUUUUUCGUUAAAUCAGUAACAAAGUUAAAACUAAAAGGUACUAAAGUGAAUAUUCGAUGAACCUAGAUAAAGUAUCUGAAGUUUUUUGUAUAUAAUUUAACGAAAUAUUAACGGAGGAAAAAAAAUCAGUGACAAAGUUAAAAUUGAAGGGUACUAAAGUAAAUAUUCGAUAAAUCUAGAUAGGAUAUCUGAAGUUUUUUUGUAUAUAAUUUAACAAAAUAUUAACAAAGGAGCCGACGAAAAGAGAAAAAUAAAACCACAUGGUACUAAAUUGAUGCACUUUAAACUAUAGUGUACUUUAAACUACAGGGUACUACAGUGAGAAAGUGCGAAACCACAGGUACUAAAUCCAUACACUUUACUUUAAAUUACAGGGUACUAAAGUGAAAGGUGCGAAACUACAGGGGUGAUAUUUGAAGUUUUUUCAAAAAAAAAAGGUUGGGCUGAGCGCCUGAGCCUGAGACGAGCACAAGAAGAGCCGAACCGGAAGAGCCCGAACCGGGUCGGGUUCGGUCUUCUGCGAAAGCAAAAGCCCGGUUCAAAUUGCGAACCGCUUCUUCUCCUCCAUUCCCCCGAAUCCCCCGCCCCUUCUCUUCCACGCCCAUGGCGUCGUCUCUGUUCAUCCGCGCCGCGCGCAAGCUCCGGGCCCCGACCCCGACCUCGACCUCGAUCUCGCUCUCCCCCCUCUCCCUCCUCUCCCACCUCCAAAACCCUAGCCCCCUCCCCGCUCCUCAAACCCUAGCCCCUUCGCUCCCUCCCGCGAUCCAUCCUUCGACUUGGAUCGCGCCCUCCACUCGCUCGCCGAGGAUCCUUCGGCGGUUCCCGUUCGAACUAUCCGUCGCUUCGAUCUCGAGCUCCUCGGGGACCGCCGACGAGAGGCCUGGUAGGGCGGCCGAUGGCGGCGGCGGCGGCGGAGGAUCGCCGGCUCCGGCGGCUCCGGCGCCGUCGUGGGUGGAGCUGUACGUCCCGGCGUCGGUGCGGCCGUAUGCUCUUCUGGCGCGGCUCGAUAAACCCAUCGGAACGUGGUUACUAGCUUGGCCUUGCAUGUGGUAUAAUAUUACUCCAUCCUUUUUCUCUCAAAUUAUGAUUACUGCGACACCUUCUUCGCACAAAGUUCAAUUUGUUCGGAAGGUUUGAGUUUUUCUACAAUUGAACUAUUUGUUGAAGUUUAAGAGCAUAGGAGGUGUUUGGAUUGAUGUAAUUGCAGUUUAGCCCUGAAUUAACUUUGUAAAGAAUUGUAACAUUAGCCCGGUCGUCGAUCACGACUAAUCCAAAGAGAUCCACCUGCAAGCCAUGAGCUCAAAUUCUUUGAAAACAAUUUCCCCUCAGAAUGGUCCGAAGCCAUUACGGCUGGGACAAAUAUCUCUACUCUCAUUGAACUUGAUUUACGGCUAAAAACUGGUUAUUUAUCCAUUUACAAAUAGUAGAAUAUUUAGUCCUCUUUUUGUUUAUGAAGGUUAUGAAGGUCUUUUGUGCAUUUUGUAGAUCUUCUGUUCCUACUAAUUAGAGGAGAAAGAAGCUUCAGUAGAAUGAGAUUGAUCAUUUUUUUUUGUGUGCUAUUUUAUGCUGUGCUGAAUGCUGUCGGAGGUGAACCUAUUUUACAACUUUGGAACAGUUGCCGUAUAUUCGUGGGCAAUCCAUAAUCCAUACAUGAUAUGCUUAAGAGCGAGUCCCUAGAAAUAAAAUAAAGCAUUGCGAAGUCGUAAAGUUGGUGCGCUUGUCUUUUAACAUUUAUGAUUUUGUGUUCGAAUAAUACCCGCUGAAGGGCGUAUUAAUCCUUUCCUGAUCAUUUAUUCUAUUUAGGUCCAUCACGAUGGCCGCAACACCUGGGGAGCUUCCUAAUUUGAAAAUGUUAGCACUGUUUGGAUGUGGUGCUGUGCUUCUAAGAGGGGCUGGUUGCACAAUAAAUGACCUUCUUGACCGCGACAUUGAUAAGAAGGUACUUCCUACUUAAUUCCAUUGAAAAAUGGCAAAUUAUGAAAUUUUCAGAUGCCAUUAAAUGAUUUCCUAGAUACUUCAGCGAGCUUCUCACCUCAUCUUAUCAAUGUGCAAAAGGCAUCUGCUCAAUUUUGAUAUCAUCGAAAACAUGAUUCUCUGUUGUUUCAUUUUUCUUUUUAUUCUGUCAAGUUUGCUGUUUGCAUUUGUUUCACUCAGCUAUAAAUGUUUUCCUUUAAUUGUUAAUUAUUCUUUUAUUCAAAGAUUAGGUGUUUGGCUUACUCUAUGGUUUGCCACAUACGGCGAGCAUAUCUUCUACAUAGGCAGCUACUCAGAGGAGAAAAUAUUGUGCUUGCGUGCUUGCUUGCUUCAUACAGAGAUUUUCUUUUUUCCACAGGUUGAGCGCACGAAAUCCAGGCCUUUUGCAUCUGGCAUAUUGACACCAUUUGAGGGUCUUUCCUUUCUUGGUUUUCAGCUUCUGCUGGGCUUGGGAAUUCUUCUUCAACUUAAUAACUACAGGUAAUAUAAAUCUCUAGCAUCCUAUUUGGUAAUCACAGCAUGAUAAGCCAUUAGUGUCUAGCUUCUUAUCAGCUAAUGUUACGAUGAAGAAUUUUUCUUUACUUUUGAAGUUCCAACAGGCCUUUUCGUUGGGUAGUUGGGAUUUCUCACUUAGCAGUGUAAAUUUGCGAUGUGUAAGGUUAAAUUUGCUGGGGCCAUAUGAGAAUUGUGCUUGGUUGUUGUUCUCCGUUGAAUUUGAUAAAUGAUGGAUUUUGUUGACAAGUAUACUCUGGGUUGACCAUCGUGUGAGAAACUAUACUGUGGGAUAUGUGCUUGUUGCUUACUUUUAAAUUUUAUAGCGCAAACAAUGUUCUGAGUUUGUCUAAGACCCACUGAUAAUAAAGAUAUAUCUUAUUUAAAUUUGUUUUAUGUGACAAUUUUACAGCUGAAACUCUGUUUUUUCUAAUUUGAUGUAGCCGUGUUCUCGGAGCUUCAUCAUUGUUUCUGGUCUUUUCUUACCCUCUUAUGAAGAGACUGACAUUUUGGGUAUGUGCUAGCCAUUGGUUGUAACACUGAUAUCAUAUGAUUGUAUAUGCUGAGAGAAGUAAUUACUUGUUUUAGCCUCAAGCAUACCUCGGCUUGACCUUCAACUGGGGGGCUUUGUUAGGAUGGGCUGCGAUUAAAGAAAGCUUGGAUCCUUCUAUCGUCCUUCCACUCUACACUGCCGGUGUAUGUUGGACGCUUGUAUACGAUACCAUAUAUGCACAUCAAGUAUGUUUCCCCCACAGCCCUCAUUGUAUGCUUCUCGUGAAUGCAACUGUUGUACUAUUUUUAAUCUAAAAACUUACUCAGGAUAAAGAAGAUGACCUGAAAGUGGGAGUUAAAUCUACCGCAUUGAGGUUUGGAAGUUUGACCGAGUACUGGAUAACUGGGUUUGGUGCUGCUUGUAUCAGUAGCCUAGCACUAAGUGGAUAUAAUGCCGAGCUUGGUAUGCACUUACCUUUCCUUAAGAUGUCAUCAAUGCAUAAAUUUACAUUUACUAUUCACACAUGUUUCGUACGACAGCAUGGCCCUUCUAUCCAUUUCUGAUUGCUGCAAGUGGUCAGUUAGCUUGGCAGAUCUUAACCGUUGACUUGUCUAACCGUGCAGACUGCAACAGAAAGUAAGUGCAUGGCAUUAUCAGCCUUUUUUAUGUGUUGUAUUGCCAUGUUAAGUCGGGAUCUUGCCUUGUCUGCAACUGUUUUGCCUGAAAAAUCAGUACUUACUCUGUUGGCAUUUAUGUAAUCUGAUUUAUCUGAUGUAAAAUUUUCUCCAGAUUUGUUUCCAACAAAUGGUUCGGAGCACUCGUAUUCAGCGGCAUCCUAUUCGGACGCCUCGCUUCCUGAGAGGUAAUCCAUGCUUUAGUCAAGGCCUGAAAUUUCUCGGUGUGCAUUGGAUAAAAUCAGUGAAAACCUAAAAAGAUCCUCAUAAAACACAGGACCAGCUGCUGGCUCAGUAAGUCCAACAACAUCUCACUGUUCAUAAUUUGCAUUAUUUAUUCCGUAGAUUAACAUAAUUUUCGCAUUAUGUAUAACAAUAUGGGCAUCAUUCUAAUUUGGUUAUUAAAAUAUAAGCAGGUUUUGCUCUGAGCUAUUCAAAAUUUUGGCCCUCCGAACCAUUUCUUUUUCAAACUAGUUUCAAAGAAAAAGAUAUAUAUAUAUAUAUAUAUAUAAUAAUAAUAAUAAUAAUAAAUUAUGUUCCUUUAUGUAAAAUUACAAUUAGAUUAAGUAGCUGUAACAUUCAUAUUCUUCAUUGAUAAUUAUGUUUUGCGAGCUGGGUUGUCUUGUACCAUUGUAUUUAUACAUAAGAUUAUAUAUUAUUGGAUUACAUUCAACACAAAUCACAAAGCACAUUUGAUGCUACUUAACUGUAGGAUAGGGGUGUAUCGUAAACCCAAUUGUUCCCCCUCUUUCGGGUUGUGGAUAUCGGGUGCAUGAGUUUCGGGUUGGGGUUGGGGCUAGGGAGCCUAUAGGCCACCUCAAAAAUUAAAUUAAAUAAAAUAAUAAAUAAAAUCAAAUGUGAUGUUGUUCGGUGCAUCUGAUACAAUUUUUCUUGUUCUUUUCUUCGACACUCCACGUGACACACUUUAAGUUCCUUUACCAGGUGUACCAUUAAUGCUCUAAAUUUUUUAAAGUAAAAAUGUACGGAAACCCCUCUUCUAUUUGCUACAAUUUUGAAAUACCCUCCUCAGCUUUAACUUCUUUGAUUUUAUCCCUUUCACUUUAAAUUUGUUUAAAUUGAGUUUUCCUAGUUGGUCAAGUUAAAAAGUUUUACUAAAUUUCAUAGCUUUAUGAGCUAUUUUAGUUACUAUUUGGUCUAGUUUAUUUGUUAAAAUAUGAUUAAAAUUAUUAAAUUUGAUGGAUUUAUUUUUGAAUUUUAUAAAAUUAUUAAUUAUUUGACUAAAAUUGUCCAAUUCCAAAAAAAAAAAAAAUCACAUGAUUAGAAGGUGUUGAUAAAAAAAUAAAUAUAGAGGGGGGGUCUUCAUACAUUUUCACCUAAAUUUAAGCCCAUGUGAAACCCCAAUACCAACUCCAACUCUAACCUGGCACAGCUAUAUGUUGUGCUGUUUCACAACUGGCUUAUUUUAAAAGCGCUUUUGGUCUUAUACACAGGAGUCAAAUAAAUUGACUCAUGAUGACCUUAGCUGUUCCCCAAUCUAAAUGUGGUUGCAUCUCCGCACCUUCCUUUUUUUCAUUUUAGGUUGAAAAUAUAGUUAAUUUUCAAGUAGACCUUGAAUAUUUCUUUUAUUAGUAUCUUCUUAAUUUAACUAUAACGGACAGUCUAUAUUGAUGUCAAGAGUUCGAGUCUCUGUGUAUGUGUGAAUUUGGAGCUCGAAUUUAUGAUUUGUGCAGAUGGAUAUUGUAAAAAUAAAAACAAGAAUGAUAUUAUAAGCUAUUUGUUGUUAAUUAUUGACCAAACUUCUAGCAAAAAUGGUGAGUGACUCCAAACAUAACCAAUCACUUUUUAUGUUAUUAAAAGUUGAGCAGUGCCAAUCUAGUAAGUGGAAUUUGAAGGAGCAUAUCUGACAACCACCUACAUUAAAGGUGGUUUCAGUACAUUUUUAUUUUUUUAUUGUUUUUGUAAAUCACACUCUCUCCUCCCACUCUCUUUCCUUUUGCUCCUCUCUAUAAAUGGAGAAAGAAACUCUUCCACUCCCUGUCACCACCACUAGUAUUAGCUCUCUCUACUUGCUAGAGUGUUCUUUCUUUUUCAACUACUCUCUACAUCCUCCACCACCCAAAUCACUAGCAAUCUCCAUGGCUCUCUCCAAACCCCCAUUCAUGGCUUUCCUCUUCCUCUCCAUGCUUGUGCUCCAAUUGGUCGAUUCGCGAUCUACGGUCGACGAUAAUUUGGUGAUUAACUCCCUAAAUUUUUCCAACUUUUUACUUACAAAAACAUAUGCUAAUUAACAUGUGAGAUUAAACACCUGGAUCUCUCUCUCUCAACUCAACUAUUUUGUUGUGUUCAUUUGUAUCUUAUGCAGGUGACAAGCAGUAUUGGGAGAUCUCUUCUUCAGGCACCUAAAAUAGGUAUAUAUGCCUAAGCAUCUACUUGUAGAGUAUAUUAUAUUUGAAUGCAUGAAUAUUUUAUUCGGAACGUCUCUUGUUUUCACUCAAAAUGUAUGUAAAAUUUUACAUACAGGUGAAAUACGCUGUUCUUCCAAACUUUAAGAAAACCUUAUAAAAAGUUUAAAUCAAAGUCCUAUUAGGAAUCACAUAUGAAAGUCCUCAUAGAACAUAAGUUAUCAAUAGAUACGUUAAGUCAAAUGAGAAUUUCUAGUUAAGCAAUCUUGGCAGUAUUAUAACUAUAUAUUUCUCUAUUUAUAUCGAUAUCUAUACAUUUAUAAAGACGAGAAAGAGUCUCUUCUAUCUUUAACUUUACUAAUGUGAUAGUACCUCUGUUUCAUUAAUUCUUUAAUUUAUAUAAAUAUAUUCUACAUUAUAUAUAUGUACAUUUGUAUGUUGUAUAAAUGCCGAUAAAAUAUCUUUGUUAAUUACCUUUUUUUUUUGGGUUAAUAUUUUUUGGUUCUUUUUUUAGAUUGCGGGGCGGCGUGCGCGACGCGGUGCAGCAGGAACUGGAAGAACAAGAUGUGCAGGAAGAUGUGCGGCAUCUGCUGCUCCAAGUGCAGCUGCGUGCCGCCAGGCACCAGCCAGGACACCCGUGGCCUCUGCCCCUGCUACGACGCCAUGCGCAACCCCGCCGGCCACCCCAAGUGCCCUUAAUCAUCAAAUUAUUAAUUAUAACACCCUCUUAAUACGCCAUUUUAAGUUAAACGACAAAAUAAUGACAACUUAAAACUAUGCUGUAGAUCGGUUUAGUUUGAGUACUGUUGAGGAGAGGGUUGGGAGUGGUUUUUAUUUAUUUUGGUACAUGCACUGUAGUUGAUAGUUUAUUUUAGGGGAAACUUCAAAUAUCUCCCUGUGAUUUCGUACGUUCUCACUUUAGUACCCUGUGGUUUAGAGUGUAUCAAGUUAGUAUUCUGUGGUUUCGCACUUUCUCACUUUAGUACUCUAUGGUUUCAAGUGUAUCAAAUUAAUACUAUGUGGUUUCGCGCUUUCUCACUUUAGUAUCCUGUGGUUUAAUAUUUUGUUAAAUUAUAUACCCCGAAAUGAAUAAUAAAAAGAGAAUUGAAACCACAUGAUACUAAUUUGAUACAAAAAUGAAACCACAUGGUACUAAUUUGAUACACUUGAAACCACAGGGUACUAAAGUGAGAAAGUGCGAAACCACAGGGUACUAACUUGAUAUACUUUAAGUCACAAGGUACUAAAGUGAGAAAAUGUGAAACCACACAGGGGUAUUUGAAGUUUCCCCUUUAUUUUAUGAUUCGUUUGAUGUUUUAUUUGAUAAUUUUUUGGAUGUUAAUUUGACGAGUUUCGUAUACUUUUAUUUUAUUAACUGGAAUCAUGGGGAAGUGGGCCAUUUGCCCGAAACCCUGACACUCGUGAAUUAUAUUUUCUCGACUGUAUUCGAACUGAUCAUCAAUGCUGUUAAAUAUUAUUGAAAUUAUUUAAAUUUAUGGAUUACUAAGCAAAUAAAAUUUGGUUCAUAAAAAUUUAAAUAGCUUAUAUUAUACUCAAUAAAACUGUUCAUAAAUGCAAGGAAACAAUCUCUUUUGCUUCUAAAAGUAUUUUAUUAUUCACAAAGAUAAUGAAUUCGGCGAAGAUCAUUUUGUAUAACGAAAAUUUUACUCACAUAAUUGCAAGAGAUAGGGAGUUCUCUCUUUUCUAAGAGAGAGAAAAAUAACAUUAUUUGAUUUAAUUAUUUUUUAAAAAUAAAUAAAUUUGGUUGAAAAUAUUAAGUUUUUGAAUAUUUUACGAAUGCUAGUGAAAUUUAAAUAAAAAUAUAAAAAAGCGGCAAUUUUUAUCUUUGAUUUUUCUCACACACGUGAGCAUUGCAUGAAUGCAACGUGAUAAGUACACGUACUCCCCUCGUGCCAUGCAACGAAUCACGCGGCCCAAAUUACUCGAUCAUCCGUACCUAAAUUUUUAUUUUUUAAAUAAAAUAAAAGAAUCAUUCACGAAGCAAAAAGUUCGAAAUUAAUGCCUCUGUACAAAUAUACAAAGACCAAUUUGCAUAAAAAAAUUUAUUAAUUUUGAACUUUUGAAAAAAUAAAUCAUUCUUUUAAAUUUUCUUUUCAAAAAUAAAAUAAAAUAAUUAAAAAAAUCAAAAUGUGAUGUUGUUCGGUGCAUCUGGUACAACUUUUCCUUGUUCUUAUCUUCGACACUCCACGUGACACACUUUUAAGUUCCUUUACUAGAGGUACCAUUAACGCACUAAAUUUUUUAAGGUAAAAUUGUACGGAAACCCCCCUCUUCUCUCUAUAUUUGCUACAAUUUUGAAAUACCCUCCUCAGCUUUGACUUCUUUGAUUUGAGCCCUUUCUCUUUAAAUUUGCUUUUUAAAUUGAGUUUUCCAUCUCACAACCACCUCCAUUAAAGGUGAUCUCAGUACAUUUUUAUUUAUUUUUUAUUUUUGUUGUAAAUCACACUCACUCUCCUCCCACUCUCUUUCCUUUUUGCUCCUCUCUAUAAAUAGAGAAAGAUACUGUUCCAUUCCCUGUCACCACCUCCACUAGUAUUAGCUCUCUCUCUCUACUAUAGCUAGAGUGUUCUUUCCUUUUCAACUACUCUCUACAAGUCACUAGCAAUUUCCAUGGCUCUCUCCAAACCCCCAAUCAUGGCUUUCCUCUUCCUCUCCAUGCUUGUGCUCCAAUCGGUCGAUUCGCGACCCACGGUCGACGAUAAUUUGGUGGUUAAUUAACUCCCUAAACUUUCCAACUUUUUACUUACAAAAACAUAUGCUAAUUAUUAACAUGCAUGUGAGAUUAACUAAACACCUGGAUCUCUCUCUCUACUCAACUCAACUAUUUUGUUGUGUUCAUUUUUAUUUUAUGCAGGUGAUCACAAGCAAUAAUGGGACAUCUCUUCUUGAGGCGCCUAAAAUAGGUAUAUAUAUAUAUAUAUGCCUAAGCAUCUACUUGUAGAGUAUAUUAUAUUUGAAUGCAUGAAUAUUUUAUUCAGAACGUCUCUUGUAUUAAUUCACUCAAAAUGUAUGUAAAAUUUGAAUACAAGUGAAAUACGCUAUUCUUCCAAACUUUAAGAAAGCCUUCUAAAAAGUUAAAAUCAAAGUCCUAUAUAUUAGGAAUCAGAUAUGAUAUGAAAGACCUCAUAGAACAUAAGUUAUCACUAGAUACGUAAGAUCAUAUGAGAAUUUCUAGUUAGUUAAGCAAUCUUGGUACUAUAACUAUAUAUUUCUCUUUUAACUUUAGCAUUACCAAUGUGAUAGUAUCUCUAUUUACAAUUAUCUUUCAUUAAUAAUUCUUUAAUUUAUAUAUAUAUAUAUAUAUAUAUGUUUCUAUAUUCUACAAUAAAUGUUAAUCAAAUCUCUAUAUGUGUUCACUCUCUUUGUUUGGGGUUAACUUAAUUUGUUUUGGCUCUUUUUCAGAUUGCAGGGCUGCGUGCGCGGCGCGGUGCAGCAGGAGCCGGAAGAACAAGAUGUGCAGGAAGAUGUGUGGCAUCUACUGCUCCAAGUGCAGCUGCGUGCCGCCGGCACUGGCCAGGACACCCGCAGCCGCUGCCGCCGCUACGACGCCAUGCGCAACCCUGCCGGUCGCCCUUAAUCAACAAAUUAUUAAUUAUAACACCCUCUUAAUACGCAAUUUGCAGUUAAACAGCAAAAUAAUUCUUACUUAAAACUACGCUGUAGAUCGGUUUAGUUUGAGUACUGUUGAGGAGAGGGUUAGGAGUAGUUUUUAUUUUGGUGCAGUUUAGUUUAUGACUCGUUUGAUGUUUUAUUUGAUAAUUUUUAGAUGUUAAUUUGAUGAGUUUCGUAAACUUUUAUUAUAACUGGAAUCAUGGGAAUGUGGGCCAUUGGCCGAAAUUCUGAUACUGGCAUUCUGCUGCAUUAUAUUUUUGGAACUACAUUCGAAUUGAUGAUCAAUACUAUUUAAUAUUAUUAAAAGUAUUUAAAUUUAUUUGUUUGAUUUAUAAAAAUUUAAAUAACUUAGAUUAUACUUGAUGAUGAGAACGAAAUGAAAGUAAACAAUUCCUUUUACUUUUAAAAGUAUUUUAUUUAUCCAAAAAAAUGUCAUGUUAUAAUUUUUGCAAGAGAUAGGGAGUUGUCUCGGUUUUUUUGGAUAGAGAAAAAUAGCAUUAUUUGAUUUACUUAUUUUUUAAAAAAAUAAAUAAAUUUUAGUUAAAAAUAUUAAAUGACUAAGUUUUAUUUUUGAAUAUUUUAAGGCCUCAACGGUCAUGUUUAUCUUUGAUUUUUCUCACACACGUGAGCAUUGCAUGAAUGCAACGUGAUAAGUACACGUACGAUCCCCUCAUGCCAUGCAAUGAAUCAUGCGGCCCAAAAUACUCGAUCACCCGUACCUGAAUUUUUAAAUAAAACACACGUGUCAUGCACGAAGAAAUUUUUAAAAUAAUUUAAAAUAAUUUAAAUUUUAAAUUUUUUUUUAAAUAACACUAUAUUUAAGAAAAGGACUGAGUGUGAACUAUAAUUAAUGGCAACGAAAUUUUAUAUAAUUUAAAACUUGCCACGUCGUCGUGCCACGUCAUCGUGCCACGUGGAAGAAGAUGGGCCCACAGAAACCGCCUCGCCAAGCUGAUACGCGCGAUGACCGGGUCCCAAUCUGAUCCUUUACCGCCAAAAAUACUUUAAUCUGAGCCGUUCAUCUCUCCUCUCUGGUGUUAUUAAUUUGAUCGAGAGAAUUGAACGGUAGAGAUUUGCUCUCUAUAUCUCAAUAGUUUUUUUUUUUUUUUUUUUUUUUUGAUAAGUGCAAUGCUCGCCCUUGUACUAUUGCGAUAUUACAACGCGCUCCUCUGCUUUUUGUUUAAAAUUCUAGUUAACUUUUGCUUUUAACCAUAAAAACCUAAUUUUUUAAAAAAUAUUUUACUCUUUUUUAUAAAAUAGAUUUGUUAUUUCAAUUUACUUUAAAUAGCAAUUAAUUUGGAGCAAAUGUCGAAUUUUUCACUAUCAGAAGUCUUCUUGCGAUUCUUUAAAAUUCGUGCAGGGUUAAAAUUAAUACCAAAAGUUCUUUAUUCUACUAAAACAUAUAAAUAUUAUUUAAAAAAUAUGCAGAUAUCAACUCACAUUAUCUAGAAACUGCAGGGACUAUUUCCUAAAUUUUACAAAUUUACUCAAAUUUUUCGUUCUUUAUUAAUAAUUUCUUUUUCAAAUUAAUUAAAUUUUCAUUUUUUUUUUCUCUCGCGUAAUAUUUAAUCUUAAUUUAAUCUUGAAUUAAUUGCAUAUAGGUCCUUGCAAACAUAAUAAAUUACAAAUAUAUACCUGUAAAGUUCAACUUUCAUAAGCUAUCCCUGCAAAAGUCCUAAUGUUUUCAAAUAUAUAUUCCUGCCGUUAGAAUGUGUUAGAAAAGUUUAGUUAAUCAUAAAUUAAAUACUUUACCUUAGUUAACUUUUAAUAUUUUUACCCCUCUUAUAUUAUAUUGUUAUAAUUUUUGAAAAAAUAUAUUUGUGAUGGCAAAAUUGGAAAUAUAAAUAGAUUUCGAACUGUUCUUUAACGGUAACAUAUCAGAGGAAUAUAUCUAAAAAUAUUAGGACUUUUGCAGGAAUAAUUUAUGAAAGUUGAACUUUGCAUGGACACAUUUGUAAUUCACUAUAUUUAUAGGGACAUAUAUGCAAUUAACCCUUUAAUCUUCUAUUUUAAAUUUUUAAAUUUUGCGUGCGCGUUUAAACACACCGACCCCACCCCAAACCCCUAACAAACCCCUCUCUGUCUCUCUCUCUCUCUCUCUCUCUCUCUCUCUCUCUAACUCUUUCUCUCUCUCUACGAUCGCCAUGGCGCUCCUCCACGAGCUCCUCUCCCUCGACCUCUCCGAGACCACGGAGAAGAUCAUCGCCGAGUACAUAUGGUAAGCUCACGAUCCAAAUCGAUCCCCAAAACCCUUCCCCACUCCUCGUUUCUACUGCUUCGAUCGAUCGAUUCAUUGAUUUCGCUAAUUUACGGUGUUUCAGGAUCGGGGGAUCGGGAAUGGACAUCAGGAGCAAAGCUAGGGUUUGUGCUUGUUUACACUCGUUUCUCCGAUUCCUUGCUCUUUUGUUCUUUGCUAAAUGGAGUGAUCUUUGUGAUUUAGACUCUUCCGAGACCGGUGUCGGAUCAUCGAGAGCUCCCGAAGUGGAACUACGAUGGAUCGAGCACGGAUCAAGCUCCUGGUGAUGAUAGCGAAGUGAUCUUAUAGUAUGUGUGCGAUCGCUUUGUUGUUCUAUUUGUUAAAAAACUUUUUUUCCCUGUUUAAUUUUGGUAGUUUUAAUUAAUUUUAUUAUUACUUUUUUUUAGCCCGCAGGAGAUUUUUAGGGAUCCGUUCAGAAAAGGCAAAAAUAUUUUGGUAUAAUUCGCUCAUCUUUCUUUUUUUUUUCCCUUGCACUUGCAUGAGCACACUUUUUUUUUAAUAAUCAAUAGUUUAAACUUAAAAUCUAAUUCCAUAGCUAUAAUUAAUUAUCUAUUUUAUAUUUUAAACUAUAAAAUAUAAAAUAAUUUUAUAUAAUAUUUAUAUAAAUAAAAAUUAUAAGUUUGAAAAUUUUAAUAUAGAUAUUAAGUUGCAAAAAAAAAAAAAAUCACGGUAUAAAAAUAAACUGUUUUAUUAAUAAAAAUGCGUCUAAAAUUAUAUAAUAUAUAUUUUAUAUAUAAUUUUUUUUGAAUGUCGCAUGCGUUAAUAGAAAAGUGAACAACACUUGGGAUCUUAUCUCUAGGCUAGGGCUACUAUACUCUUAUGAGUAUAGAGCACUUCGUACUCAUAAAUUGUUUUUAAUGAUGGAGCUUCCGAAUCGACAAUCCACUCCGUUAAAUAUCAUCUUGAAUAUUUGAAACUUCUAGAAAUAAAUUUCGUAAUUUUUUAAAAUCAUAAGAAAGUUCAUCAAGCAGGUAUAAAAUGAACGGUCAAAAUCGAACGACGUCUUAAAAAUGGAUGAUUGGAUCUUCAAUUUAAAAUCGGAGUUAUUGAUCUUUAUCUAUGUAGUGAAUAGAAUUUUCUAUCAAAAAUUCAACUGAUUUCGAUUCUUUUACACCGUUAAACUAGCAAAUAUCUCAUACCGGCCGUUAAAAAUUGUCAAUUUUGUGACCUUUUGAUCGUAAGGUAAAUGAUGUCAAAAAAUUAUAAAAUUUGAUUUCUGAACGUUUUAAAUGCUCUAGAUAAUGUUUAACGGUGUAGAUCGUCGAUUCGGAAGCUCUAUUAUCGAAAACAACUUAUGAGUACGAGGAGAGAUCAUACUCAUAAGAGUAUAGUAGCCGUACUCCUUAUCUCUAUUCAAUUUUAUUUUUUAUUAUUAAGUUAUAUAUCUAUACAUAUUACUAUUAAAAUAUUAAGAAUUCAAUUAUGAAAAAAAAGAUUAGUGAGUUAAAAUGGGGAAAAAAAAUUAAAGAUUGGGACCAAAUAGGGAAAUUAACUGUUGUGAAAUAGGGUUGGAUUGGUAAUAAUUGUUGGAUCGGAGGGUGUUAUAUGUUUUUUUCUGAAAAGUUUUCAUUUUUAGGUGAUGUGCGACGCGUACACGCCAGCUGGGGAGCCAAUUCCUACCAACAAGAGAUUCAAUGCGGAGAAGAUCUUUAGCCAUCCAGAUGUCGUCGCCGAAGAGCCUUGGUAUAAUAUUUUAUUUCCUUUAUAAUAAAAUGCUCUUUUCUCCUAAAUUGGAAAUAUAGAUUUAUUUUAGUAGGUUCCUAAUAUGUAUUUACUAACUAGUUUUACAAUUUUUUUAUCCGUAACACAUUGGCUAUAACUCAUGAUCUUGCUACAACAGUGCCAUAGCAUGAAUUCUUAUCGUCCACAUCUUGUGCGUAGAAAUUUUUUCACAAUGGAAAUAGAAUAUCAUAAAAUAUGUAUACGUUAUAAUAUCGAUUUUAAUAUAAUUUCCAUAAAUGAGUGAAAAAGAGGGCUGUUUUUAGCAUUUAAUGCGGGAAGCCAAUUUUGAAACCUUACAACAGCCACUUGUUAAUUUUGAAUUUUGAAUUGUGAUACCACCAUUAGUGGUAAGAAGUUAGUGGGUGCUGUUUAUUCUGGGCAUUAGUUUUUGAAUUUGAAUCCAAUUAUAUAUAGAAAAAGUGUGUACUCAUGUGGUCAACGGACAUCUUCCAAAUCGGAAAAAAGAAAAUUGUAAAUUAAUUCCAAGUUAUCCACAUAUUUUCACAUGAAUGAAAUUUCCAGUGUAUAAACUAUAUAAAAGUUUAUUUUUAUUCAAUAGUUUGUAAUGAUUGUCCAGAUUAGUCAGGACUAUUUCUUCCUUUAUAAUAAAUAAUUAAACGAUUAAAUAGUUUGUUUACAAUCUUGUUAAUUGACUUACUAAACCUAGUGAUCUUGGCUUAAACAUCUUGCGUACCAGCUUUUGUAAUAUUCGUGUUCUUUUACCAUAGUAAAUGUCAAACUGGGUGAUCCUCGUUUUAUCUCAAGUAAAACAGUAAUUGGGAUCUGAUUUUAGUAAAACUAUCGAACAUAUGUUUUAACUUAUCUCUUCCCGAAUCAGGUAUGGAAUUGAGCAGGAGUACACUUUGCUCCAGAAGGACAUCCACUGGCCUCUUGGAUGGCCGAUUGGCGGUUACCCUGCACCUCAGGUUAUUCACUGCAGUAGCUAUUUUGUUCUUUUUUUUAUAACAUUAUGUAAGUUUUUAGCUAGGUUGUUUACAUGAAAAGUGCCCAGUUUUUUUCUCUAUUGAUUUGCUGUUGAGAAAACUAAACCGUGCAAACUCUUCAUAGGGUCCAUACUACUGCGGUGUAGGAGCUGAUAAGGCAUUUGGUCGCGACAUUGUGAAUGCUCAUUACAAAGCAUGCCUCUAUGCUGGCAUUAACAUAAGCGGAAUUAACGGAGAAGUUAUGCCCGGCCAGGUUCGCAUUCUAACGGGCUAAUUUUAUCUUUGUUCUCUUUUAUGUUCCAAUCCAUCAUAUUCAGUUGUAUCAUCUUAUGCUUGCCUGGAAAUGUUACUAGUUAUGCCGAAGUAGUUGUUAUUCUAAUUCUUGCUGAUUGAUUAAAUUGAUUUGUACAGUGGGAAUUUCAAGUAGGCCCUGCUGUUGGAAUUUCCGCGGGUGAUCAAUUAUGGGUAGCCCGUUAUAUCCUCGAGGUGAACACCUUGUGUUGGCCUUUUAUAGCUAGAAGAUAAAAGCUUUUAAUCAAUUUGUGAAGAUCUAAUUCCUCUUGUUUUGUUCCAAUGCAGAGAAUUGCUGAGAUUGCAGGAGUUGUCGUAUCUUUCGACCCCAAGCCUAUUCAGGUUUUCUGCUGGACUUGGUACUUCAAUUUGAUUCACCGUCUUUUUAUUCGACACAUGUCGUAGUUGUUGUUUUGCUGUAGAACCACUUCGCUUACUAUUUAUAUUACUCUGUUUAUUUACUCUCUAUGGAUGGUAACAGGGUAAUUGGAAUGGUGCUGGUGCUCAUACAAAUUAUAGGUGGGAUUCGUAGUUUUUCGCGCCUUAAAGUCCUUUAUAAGCUGCAACUUACUGAAGUAUCUACAUCCCAUCACUUCUCUAUGUGUAAAAUACUCCUCAUGAAUCUCUUAAUCCUUUCUAUUCAACAGCACCAAGUCCAUGAGGAACAACGGCGGGCUUGAUGUGAUCAAGAAAGCAAUCGAGAAACUGAAGCUUCGGCACAAGGAGCAUAUUUCUGCAUAUGGUGAGGGUAAUGAGCGGAGAUUGACCGGUCAGCACGAAACUGCAAACAUCGACGCAUUUUCAUGGGUAAGGAUCAAUCUCAACUGCAAUUUCCCUACAACGUUUUGCGAACUUCAAAAUAUGCUUAUUUCUAGUUGUUAAAAUUUAAUGCAGAAGACAUAAAGAAAUCCAUCUUUCUUUGUAAUCAUCGGAGUUGUACCAUAUAAAACUACAUGAUUACGCAUUUUAGCGAUAACUCGUGUCUUUGACAAUAUCUGUGCUUUUACAAGGUGAAAUAUAUAUGGUUUUCUUCUUAUGCUGUAAACUAAUAUACUUUAACAACUGCUGCAAAUGCAGGGUGUCGCAAACCGCGGUGCCUCGGUUCGUGUCGGUCGUGAAACUGAAAAGGCCGGCAAAGGUAUGCAAAUAACCUUCAUUACAACCUAAACCCGAGUUCCAUUUCCCUUUGUGAUUUUAAAGUUUCCUAGAAACCAUAUAAUAACAUCUACCUUAAUCAAUUUUCUCAUGGUCAUUUACAUCAAUUCUCUUAUAUGUUUCUUACGCAGGUUAUUUCGAGGAUAGGAGGCCGGCGUCGAACAUGGAUCCAUACGUCGUGACCUCGAUGAUUGCCGAAACCACCAUUCUUCGGAAAUCAUCUUAAAAUUGGGGCUAGGAUAACUUACCAUGCUGCUAGAACAUUUGUUCUGCUUUUAUUCUCUCUCUGGUUGUUUUACGAAAAAUUGCGCACAAAUUAGGGUAGUUGUUUUGGAACAUUGUGAUCUAUAAUGGUUCUCUUUUGUUUACUUUGUUAGUGAUGAGAAGCAGGUAUCAAAGGCCAAGAGAAAAAAAAAAAAAAGUGUAAGUAGAUCACAGGUUCUCUUUUCUCUCUUGGUAAUAAAGCUGUAACAAGAACCAGGAAAUGAAGAUGAAUUGGGUGAAAAUGUUUCCAAUUUUUCGCAAUGCACAUGAUUCAGUUUUCGGUGCAACGUUCUUAUUGACCUGAAUCCGGGAGGCACGACAACCUCGCGAGGACCCCUACGAGGGGCGCGUUCCCCGCGAGGCUCGGCUCGGUUUGCUUGUAGCUUUUCCGGUCAUCGGAGAAGCCGUCUUUGUCAUCAGGGCCACCGAGUAAAGCUCCCAGAAUGACAUUCGGAUCGGCGUUCUUAUUACCGUACCAGUCCUCGAACCCCUCUACGCAUCCGAUCGGCGCGGGGUGAAUGGAAACCGAAGGCAUUGAAGCUCCCCUGUGGUGCACAUGAGUUGGAAACCUCCCUCCAUAUCCUACCAAGUAGCUUAUGGACUUUGGAUUCUUUCCGAGCAUGUAAUCAACCUAAAAUGAUGUAAUUUACUAUAAUGUUAGGUAGCUUAGUGCGAAAAUUUUAGUUCUCCUUAUGAAGAUGAAGUACUACAUUACCUGGGACUGGGCAAACCUGAGGAUAUCUAAAGGUUGGAUUUCGCCGUCAGGGCAUUUGAGAUUACCCUUCGACGCCGACAAGUAAUCCGAGUAAACCGCCAGUAAGAACGCCGCCGACGAUACAUACUGCAUGUUGUUCCAGUCGUCGAAGUAUAACAGUCCCCCUGAUCAAUCACUCAAUCAAAAUCGUCACCCGAAUAAGGACCGAGAUUUACGAUCGAGAUUCACGAAUAAGGGUGUUUUCACGCGAGGGGUUCGAAGGACACCUGGGGUCAUCUUGACGUCGUGGCCUUUGUUCUUCCGAAGGCACGCGCAGACGAAGAACUCGGCUUUCGCCUGGUAUUGCUUGAGAACGGAGCUGUACGGGGCGCUUCCCGCUUGCAAAAGCACCUGAAAGAGCGUAAAAACCCAACACAAGUAUACCAAAUUUAUGACAACAUGCAUGUUUCUCUAUAUAAAAUAGAUGAUUCGAUCAGUUAAUAGUAAAAUUGACUCUGUUAAUCAUGUGUGUAUAUAUAUAUACCUUUGUGAGGAGAACCUGUGAUCCAGCAUAUUUAUUGUCCCAGUAGAAUUCCUUAACAGCCCAACCUGUUCCACCAAAUGCUGCAGCAUUUUGGGAUACAUAGCUGAGGUAGGAUUGAUCAUUGGUUGCUUCAUAAAGCCAUGUAGCUGCCCAUAGCAACUCAUCCUGCACCAACAAGUUCUCAUUACACAAAAGAGUUCACUUUGAUGAUUAGUUGUGGAUAAUAUAUAUGUGCCAUUUGGUUGUUUGCAAUUUUAAUUCCUUGCGCUGUAAAACGCGUGGUGAUUUUCUAUGGGACGGAGGGCUCCGUCGCUUACGUGAAAACCCGUCGACGAAGGGUAGAACUUGCAAGCGAACUCUAGGGUGUCGUCGUACCGUCCUCGGAAUGUGUCAGCGAAGGUGAAGAGCUACGAGAGCCAGAAAAUGCGUAUACAUACGGGUUUGAUUACUGCAAUACUGCUUUCAAAACGAAUUACAGUGCUUUUAAUUUCGUGGGAUUCGAAACCGGUAACAUGUUACCUGCUUCGCAUGUAAGAGGAGGAGGUUGGAGUACUUAGCGUCAAAAGGCUUGAAAGCCCUAGAAGCUGCAGCUAAUGCAGCAGCAGUCUCUCCGGCCACCUCCGAGCCGCGGCGGUUCGUGUCGAUCUUGUACGCCGUCCUCGACGUCGUCAUGUCCUCCGCCCUCUCCCAGCAGAGGUGAUCACCGUCGCCGUCCCCAACCUUUUCAUUUUAAGAUCCAUUAUAUGCACCAUGAAAAUGUUAAGUCCAAAAAUUUUAAACGCUUGUUGAAUUCGAACAUAAAACGUUACGAAAAUGGAUGGUUCGAUAUAAAUGAAUGUAUUGGAAACAUCGAUAAAAUGUAGAAUUGAAACAUAUGCAUAUGAUAAUACGGUGUCAGAGCCAAUUUUUGCUUAUUUCUUCGUUCUCCCGUUAUAUAUUAAUGGUAGUGAUUGAAACCACGAUAUGAUGAAAUGAAGAAGUUUAAAGUUGACUCUGUAUCAUAUUACUCGAAAGAUCAAUUUAAUAGGAAACAGGAUAAGACACGUAUAUUACCGUAUAUACGUAUGUAUAUACGUACGUAUGUACGUACGUACCUGCACCCAGAGGGUGUUGGGUGGUUUGUGAGCUUUGAGGAAGUAAUCGGUGCCCCACCGGAUUGCAGCCAAGGCUUGUUUGAGUUGGUUCGCGGCGACCGUCUCCUUCUCGAACUCGAUCACGCCCCACGAAAGCAUCGUCACCGCGAACGCCAUCGGGAACCCAAACUUGACGUGAUCGCCGGCGUCGUAGUAUCCUCCGACCAAGUCCACCUACCGAGAGAAUGCGAUACAAGUUUUAGUACUUUUAAAUUGUUAUUCGAGUACUUUUUUUUUGGGUCUAGCUUCUGAAACAGCUACUCUAUUCUAAAAUAUAAAAUUCUACAAAAAAAAAAAGAGCUUUACGAUCCCCAAUAUAAGUUUUCCAUUUUACUUAAACAACACAUUUAUAGAAACUCUGGAUAGCUUUUGUAUUUCACAAAAGUCUGUGAAGGAUAUAUAUAUAUAUAUAUAUAUAUAGAGAGAGAGAGAGAGAGAGAGAGAGAGUAGGAUUGCUGUACUAUUAAGAACACAGAGCCAGGGGGCCUCCAUGCUUCUAAGCACUUUUUGAUGAUGGGACUUUCGAAUUGACGAUCGGCUACGUUAGAUUUGAUCUAACAUAUUUGAAAUAUCUAGAAAAUAAUUUUUAUAAAGUUUCGAUAUCAUUAUCGAGUGGUCGAAACGAUUCAAAAUCAAUAAUUUUUAAUAGUUGAUGUAUGUUGUUUGCAAGUUUAACAGUGUAGAAGUUUUGUACGCCUAGUUCAUUUUGCUUAAUGAAUGAAGCAGGUAGCUCGUUACCUCGUUCUCAAAAAAAAAAAAAAAAAGGUGUAGAAGUAUUAAAAUCAAAUAAAAUUUUGAUAGAAAAUUUUUUAUACUAUCUAGAACAAAAUUAAUUUCUCUGAUAAAAAAUGUUAGCGCUAGCUACAUCAUAACUUUUUGUGAUAUUUUAUUUUCAACCGUUGAUUUUGAAUCCUUUCGAUUACUAAGUAAAUAAUACCAAAAAAUCGCAAAAUCCAUUUUCUAGAUAGUUCAAAUACGCUAGAUUAUAUUUAAGGGAUCCGAUCAUCGAUUCGAAAGUUAUAUCAUCGAAAACUACUUAGAAACAUGAAAAUCUUUGUGCUCCUAAUAGCACGCAAGCCCUACUCUAUAUAUUUAUAUGUAGAUAUACCAACAAAGUCAUUCAAACUCAUUAGUGUGUAAAAAGAUCAUAAAACUGUUUCAAAAGCGCAUAUAUGCAUGCAUUACGCCUUGUUCGAAGCCGUCGGUGAGGGCGGAAUCGCCGCGCCACUUGACGCGGCGGUCGGGCGGGAGCUUGCCGGACCGCUGGGCCUCGAAGAACAGCAGGCUCUUCUCCAGUGCAUCCUUGUAGUCGAACGCGGUCGCCGUCGAGCCGAGCACCGAAACCACCGUCAGAAAAGCUAAUGAGAUUGAGAGCCUCCCCAUGGCUCGUAGAAACGUUCUAAUUAAGGAUCACAAAACUUAUAAGGUACGUAGAACACAACUUAAUUGCGUGUUGUGUAUCAUAUCAUAGUUUUAUAAGAGAGAGAAAGAGAGAGGGAGAAGAAAAAAUAAUAAAAAGGUGCAGUGCACGUAAGGAAAGGGGUUGGAUUUAGAGCCAUGCAUGCACGAUGAGGAGAGAGAAAAUUAUGAAAACUAUUAUAGGGUGGAGAGGAGAAUAUUGUUGGGUAAAAAUUAAAAUGCAUGAAUGGGCCCUCUACUAUUCAGAUAUUGCAAUUCAGUCCUUGUGCUUUUUCUUUGUUGCUUAAUUAUCUAUUUUCCUGACUAUCUGUCAUAAAAAUGUUGCGCUGCAUGCAGUUUCUGACGAUUAAAAAUUUUGAAUUUUCUUGUGCAGUAAAUUGGCAUUAAAAAUGUAACACUCUGGAAAAAUUGCAACCAGGUAUUUUCGGAAAGGGAGUGAAAAUUAAUAUUGUUUUUAAAAAUUAGAGUUUUUUUAGCAGUCAAAAAUGAAAGUAUAUUAUAUGUAAAAGUUUAGAGAUUAAAGAAGCAAAAUCAAAAAAAGUAAGAACCAAAUUGAGAUUCUGGAAUACUACAGGGACUAUCCAUACAUUUCACACAAUAUUGUUUAUACUAUAUAUAUAUAUAUAUAUAUAUAUAUAUAUGGAGAGAACUAUUUGUAGCACAAAAGUUCAACGUUCUUUUCAUUUUUGAAUUUUGACUCAUUUUUAAAAUUUUUUUAGGGGAAUGUCAACUGGUAUAAGGUACGAAAAAUUUUGGACUCGUUAGACAAUUAAUCAGGCGUACAUAUAUACAAGUGAAAAAAAGAUGAGAUUUUGUGUUGGCCUCGUCAAAAUCUAAUUUAUAAUUGGACUAGCUUAGGAGCAAUUCCAAAAUAUGUAAAAUAUUAAUAGUAGGUUGCAGCUUUUCUAUGCAUGAAAAGCUUAAAAAAGAUUUGAGAAUUUAAGCUAGGAGUUAAAAACAAGUACAAGAGGAUAUUUUGCAUAUUUUCUGGAGCUUUUGUGGCUCGAAAAGCCGAAAUCGAAAUCUGAACUCACAAACAAAUUAAUUAUACUGGAGAUAAGUUCUUGUAACAGGAAUGCAGAUACAGAACUUACAGUUAGAAUGAAGAAUGCGAAGAUUCUUUACAUAACACAAAAUGUAAGAUGAAUUGCUAUUUAUCUUCGAAAAGGCGAGGGAAAUCUCUCAUGACCUGUUAUAUCAACCGAGGUAUCGAAGCAAGACACCGUCGUUCCCGAGAACAAAGCCUUUGUCAUCUGUGAUGAACCUGCGGACAACGGAGUGUAUCAAUUCGCAGAAUUUGAAGAGCAUGUUUGGGGAAAAUUUAUGGGGGGCGUUAUAUAGUUAUAGAAUGUCUGGUUACUAUGUUGUGAUGAAUUUAGAAGAUGUGUAUCUGAGCAGGAAAAAAAAAAUCAUUACUUUACAGAGUAGAGGUUCGCAGCGAUGUUAUCUGCAGCUUUAUCACGAGUCCAACUCUUUCCGCCGUUUGUUGUUCUCAGCAGGAUGCCACUUCCCCCCGCCGCCCAUGCUUCGUCCUAGUGGCGACAAUUUUACAGUUUCCUUAGCAAGAAAAAUGAAUAUAUAAAACUGAUCCACAAAAGGGCGCGUCACAUUGCUACUAUUUAUCUGGCUUUUGCUUUAGUUCUGUCAUAAGUAUAAAUGAUAAGAUUAAUGAUUGUCAUUUUGCUAAAAUUUCAAGGGAAAAAAAAAGAAGAAAUGGAAAGAAAACACAAUUUAUGUGCAUCAAAAGUUGAGGGAAAGCUCUUCUGUAGUCAGAUUUUUUAGUUUGAGCUACUAUUAGUUUAUUACCUUCGAGCGAUAACCAACGUCAAGAAUACCGAACCCCCUGCUCUGGACUGGAACCUCCUCAAAUUCUUCAGUGAGCUGAAAUAAGAAGCAAUUUUUCUGGUGUAAAAUCAACUGUGUGCAAGUUGUGUUAUAUUGAAGAGGAUGAUCAGGUGAAUUGGAACAAUUUGUGCAAAAACAUCAGUAGAAGGGUCAAAACCAAUAAGAUGAAAUGGUCAGUCCCAUCAUGUAAAUAGCAGUAAAUAUUAAUUAAGAAAGCAAUGUACAACGACAGAAAUGUUGAUUUCAUAAGAUGAUAAACACUCGAGGUGCGAUACAUGCAAAGCAAUUAUAAAGAUUUACAGAAAAGAAAAAAAGAAGCAUGAUUAUUUGAAAAGUUAUUAUGCAACCUUCGGCCUGUAAAGCAACAAAGUAGAUAGUCUGACACCAGUUUCUCAAGAAAUUUUGCUUACAGAAAGAGAUAAAAAUCUAGUAGUCUACCUUCAAAACUUUUGAGUCAAAUUAAAGAAACAGUUUUUCAAAUGAAUUUACCCCUGUUCCUUUACUCAGAUAAAGCCCGCCACCUCGCACAAGAAGCCAAAGACCACCAUCAGCUCUCCAUCCCAUGUUCUGUAUUCGCCGUGCUACCGCUCUGUUAUGCGGUUGCCAAUAUGGCUGCAAAAUGUGGAAAAACUAAUCAUAGAUCUAGCCAGAACAUACUAAUAGUGCUAACGAAUAAGAAAAAGAACAGUCUAGCCUAUCAAGCAAGAUAUAGGUACAAUGCAAAUGUUAACAGCAUGCAAAGACAAAACCUGAUCCGAUAUUCAACAGAAAAUUAACUUCCUUUCAAAAGACAUGGUGCUUAAUAUGAAAACUCUGUCUCUAAAUUGUAAACUGGAACAUCUCUUAGUAAUAAGAUAAUACGACGAAAUCGAGAGCAUAGAAAACCAGAGUAUAAUAGCUGUUAACAUAAGACUGACGAACCUGUCCAGGCUCCCAAGUCAAGUAGAAGUUUCCACGGCUUGAGACAGCAACAUAUCGGCCAUCAGGAGAGCGGUUUAGAGUGUUGAAGGUCCCCGUAUAGUAGCUUGCACCACUAAUGCCACUGGAAACUGUUCUGAAGAACAAACAAAUAUGACUCGAUUACCUGGAAACUUACGAAACAACGUAAUAUGAAAACAAACUAACUUUUUUAUGCGUCGCCAUGUUAAGUAGCCGUCAAAGAAGUGACCUACCUGUUAAGAGUGGCUGAGACAGUCUCUUGCACAGCAGCUUUCCAAUUGUACCCUCGAUUUGAUGUUACGUAGAUUGCUCCUUGAUUAGUGACCAUCUCUGCACUUUUUUCACCAGUAGCUUCUAUAUAAACCUGUUAUUCAGCAACAAAUAGUGUGAUUGUAAUUAAAUCUGCGGAUAUUGUAUUGCCACCUUGAAGUAUCAAGGUGCUUUAACAAAUUUUGAAAAUGCAACUGUCAUGUUAGCUAAAUCAAGUAUUCAUGAGUAAUAGAUAUUAUUCCAAAAUAUUAUCUGGAAAAUUAACAGGUGAUGAGUCCACAAUUACAAAGACCUCUCAUCAAGCUGCUUUUCGCAACUUGAUUUAGUAUACCCUACAAGUGAAGAGCAUUAAAAAAAUACUACUCAAAAAGCAUUCAAUAAAUGACAAGAGGACUCAUUACAAUGUCACCAGGAAGUUCGGCACUCAAAGGUAUUCUUUCCCAGCUCUCUCCAGCAUCUGAUGUGUGCAGCAAAAUUGCAGGUUUCCCUACAAUCCACCCUUCUUUUCCUUUGAAGCUGAUGGAGUUGAAUCUAUAAUUGAAGUCCUCAUCUUCCGCCGACGGAAUAGAACGUGGGAACCAAGUAAGCCCUCCAUCUUUUGUCUCCAAUAUAGUCUGUCUCGUCCCCAAAAGAAAACCUGAUUUUGAUAGAAAAUGAUUGGAAUUUGUAUAAAAACUAGUCAAAUAUUUUACGUGCACCGCAUCUUCGCAUUCGUGUUACAGGUAAAUGACAGCAUGGUAACUACAUCACCAACUAAAUCAAAACACAAAAUACAGCAUAAGUUGCGGGCACUAAUGAGCAUUGACUCUAUCAGAUCUCUUUUUGGUAUUUGCAAGGAAGAUAUAUAUUGAAUCUAGCCACGAUUUAGAUUGUUUGCCUCAUGAAUGAUCAAAAUUGCUCUGACAACAUCAAAUUCCGAGAGAAGAAAGCAAAAUUGGAAUGCUGGGAUUUAAGCAACGUAAACGAUUUAAAACCUGAUCCUGCUACUCAGUAUAGAGCCUCUUUCGCUCUAGUGAUGGCAAUUCAAGUUUCUUUCACCACUCUUACAAAAUUUAACAGCUCUAAACCAAAUCACACGGUUCUAUCUUACUAGCUAUGAUGUAUGAAACUAGUGCGUUGUUGAGAACUAAAAAUUUAGAAAAAUUAACAUCUAAAUCGAUCCAUUCGUCAUGAACUACAGCAUUAGACGAUUCCAUAAGAUCCAAUUAAAAAAAAAAUUGAGAGAGAGAGAGAGAGAGAGAGAGAGACCGUGGGAGAGGUCGUCGGGGACGAAGGCGAUGUCGAGGAGGACGACGCCGGGGUCGACGGGGAGGUAGACCCUCUCCCACUCGGAAAGCGCCGGCUCCUCCGCCCUCGCCGCCGCGCCGCCGACGAGGGGCGUAAGCACGAGCGGCGCCGCCGCCGCCGCCGCGGCGGCGGUGUCGACGAUGAACUCGCGCCGAUUCUUCGGCGACGAGGACGAAGGCGAAGAGGAACGGAACGAGGACCUCGGGACGAGGCGAGAACGGCGAUGAUGACGGCCAGGGCUCCGUGCGGCGGCGGAGGAGGAGGAGGAGGAGGAGGAGGAGCGGCGCGGGGAGCUGUCGAGGAGGAUGGGGUUUAGGUCGGUGAGGCGGAGAGUCGCCAUUGGAGAGAGUGGGGAAGAGCUUUUUCUCGCGACGGCGACGAAGAUGACGAUGCUCCGUGUAUGCGUAUGCGCGCGUGUGUGUUCGCGGGCUCUCUCAAAGCUUCGGUGGAUAACAACGAGAGGGAUAUCCCAUUAUCCCUUAUUUAUGUAAAUACAUAUAUAUUUAAUAUUUUGAAAAAAAAGACAUUAUUUAACACGUGUGGGGAUGUAGCUCAGAUGGUAGAGCGCUCGCUUAGCAUGCGAGAGGUACGGGGAUCGAUACCCCGCAUCUCCAAUUUAAAGUUUCAUUUAUAUCUAUUUUUUUAUUUAUAAAAAGAAUACUUUUGUGAUUCCGAACUAGCACUAGACAUGGUGGACGAUAGAUUUGACAAUCUUAUUAUUUUUAACUGAUACCAAAAUGAUAAUAAUACCGACCGUCUCGAGCAAGUGGCAAAGGGCUUGGUGAGGUAUUCGAGAUUUCAAGUUCAAAUCCUAGUUGAUUCAGAUUUCUAACUAAAUUUAUUUCUAAAUGAAAUAAACGAAUCUCGUGCAUAAGAAAUAUGGUGUCGGUAAGGAACGGCGGAUUUGACGAAACCCAAGCUCGACACUGUUGUUAGUGGUGAAUGGUAGAUUAGACGGUCUCAUCAUUUUUAACCGGCCCGAACAUAAUCUGAUUGGGCCGAGCUCAAGCUCGAUCCAACCACAAACCACUGAUAACUAGUCUAGGCGACUGGGUCGUUUGACCACGUGAAAGGAAAAGGCGAAGGAUUGGGCUCGAAUCGCUUUGCUACAAAGCUACGAGAACGUAUAAAUGAUCCAACGUUUAGGUAAAUCAUUUGAACCUACUCUCACCCCACCACCUCCAUGAAUUAUAUCAACCAAGCUCUCAUUGUUUCCGCAGAUGAGGUUUGCUUUUAGCUGCAUCUCAUAAUUGUGCGCAGGAGAUGUUGCUCACCAGGUGUUCGAUUGAAUGCUUAGUAGAAAAUGUAGACCAUUGUUUUUUGGGAAAACUUCAAAAACCCCCCCUGUGGUUUCGUGCAUUCUCACUUUGCUACCCUGUGGUUUAAAACGUAUCAAUUUAUCCCCCUGUGGUUUCAUUUUUAUCUUUUCGGAAGCUUUUUCGUUAAUAUUUCGUUAAAUUAUAUACAAAAAACUUCAGAUAACCAUCUAUAUUUAUUGAAUAGUCACUUUAGUAUCCUUUAAUUUUAACUUUGUCACUGAUUUUAAAAAAAAAUAAUAAUAAAAUUGAUAACAAAAAGAUAAAAACGAAACCACAGGGGGGCAAAAUGAUACGUUUUAAACCACAGGGUAGCAAAGUGAGAAUGCACGAAACCACAAGGGGGGGUUUUUGAAGUUUUCCCUUGUUUUUUUGCCAUUGUGGUUCUUUGUAGAAAAUGUUUAGUAGAAAAUGUAGACCAUUGUUUUUUUUGUGCCAUUGUGGUUCUUUGUUAGGUAUUUUGUAUCGCAUCAGCUAGUUUUUUGUGUCAAAUUAAGGGUCUUUUUGGCCCGAGUAAUGUAGGGUGAAGUGCCGUCGGAGUAGUGCUUUUAGAAGAGAAGUACUCAAUUGAAAUCUCAUUAAACAAAUUCUGUGCGUAGUUGAAGUAGAAGCAGUAGAUUAGAGUCUUUGAUUUUGGGCCACAUAAUCUCAUUUCGAAUUUCCGCCGCAGCGGAAACACCAUAGUAUUUUGUUUGCCAAACGCUCUAUUGGAGGUGAUUGCUACCGAAUGCAGAAGCAAAAGUGCGGCAAAACAGGCUCUUUUGCAUCAAUUAUCAGCUGCAGUUUCAUUCUAAUAGAGCGUUUAGCAGUCGAAAAAAAAAUCUGAAAAUGAGAUUUUGUGAUCGAAAAGCUGUCGUGGGGGAAUUAAAUACGGGCCGUAUAAUACAAUGAUGAUUGUUAAAAGUAGUAGCCAUUGCAUCAAUCAUUAGCUUCCCGCAUGUAUUGGAAACCUCCAACACUUGAUAUCUGUUUUGCAGUUGUUUAGUACUUCGUUUAUGUACUGAGAUUCUGAUUCCUUUUCCUACUUAAGUUUAUAGACCUGUCAUUUUUCCGCUGUCAUUAGUAUUUCAUCUUAUUUGAUCCCUUAUUUUUGUACAACAUUUUGUGAAUUGAAACAUUUUAUUUGAUUUUAGAUGUGCUUCCACUAAUGAACGGGGUUAUCGGGUUGCCUUCGUGGAGCACACGGUUUAUGUCCAAAAUGAGAAUGAAGUCGCCUGUUCUUUCUCCCACCGAGCGAAUUCCGACAUAUUGUUCCACCUCACAUUGUGACACUCUUACUUCUACAUUAUCUUCAGUCCCUAACACGAAGAAAACGAAGGACAAGGUCAUUGUUGUCUCCGGCCCUACCGGAGCUGGAAAGAGCAGGCUCGCACUAGAGCUAGCCAAAAGGCUAAAUGGAGAGAUCGUAAGUGCGGAUUCCGUGCAAGUAUAUCGUGGACUCGACAUUGGAUCAGCCAAGCCGUCGAUUGAAGAGAGAGCUGAAGUCCCCCACCACUUACUCGACAUACUACACCCCUCAGAGGACUAUUCUGCUGGGCAGUUCUUCGAGGACGCGAGGAAAGCAACAAAUUGUAUUAUUGAGAAAGGUCUGGUGCCCAUAAUUGCGGGCGGAACAGGUCUGUACUUACGGUGGUAUAUAUACGGAAAGCCGGACGUUCCGAAAGCUUCAUUGGAGAUCACAAAUGAAGUUUGGUCGGAGCUCGUAGACUUGCAGAAGAAGGGCAACUGGGACGCAGCUGUAGAAUUAGUAGUAAAAGCUGGCGAUCCAAAAGCUUUUAAUGUGCCUGCGAAUGAUUGGUAUCGUUUAAGGCGCAGCCUUGAGAUUAUUAGAUCUUCGGGAUCUCCACCGUCAGCUUUUAGCGUACCAUACGAUUCAUUUCGUGGUCAGGCUGAGUCAAAAUCGGCAGACCGAUCGACUGAUCAAAUUUCUGCUGUAAACGGUCCCGGAGAAUUGCCUACAAAAGAGUUGGAUUAUGACUUCAUUUGCAUUUUCCUUUCGAGCCCGAGAAUAGAUCUUUAUAGGUCGAUUGAUUUGAGGUGCGAGGAGAUGCUCAUGGAACCAGAAGGGCUUCUCACAGAAGCCUCGUGGCUUCUCGAUAUAGGGCUUCGGCCAAAUAUGAACUCCGCUACUCGAGCAAUCGGGUAUCGACAAGCUAUGGAGUACCUGCAAAGUUGUAGGAUAAAAGGUGGCAGAAGCUCGCCAGAAGAGUUUUAUGCAUUUUUAUCCGAGUUUCAAAAGGCUUCGCGAAACUUUGCAAAGAGGCAAAUGACUUGGUUCCGGAACGAGCUUAUUUACCAGUGGAUUGAUGCCUCGCAACCUUUCGACAAGGUUGUCGAAUUCAUUUGUAACGCUUAUUGCGAUCGAAAUGAGAGGGUAGUGCCUGAACCAUUGAAAAUGAAGAAGGAAAGCACCGGUCGGCAGGAAAGCAAUGAACUGAAGUCGUACCGCGCCAAGAAUAAGCUUUUUAUCAGCGACGAAGAUUGCGGUCGUGUUCUGAGUUGGAUUAGGAGGACACAAAGGAAGUAACCAGUGUUUUUAUUCAUCGUCGCAUUCCUCGCCAAUGAUUCUCUCCACUGUGCCAUGAUCUCUGUGGUUAUCAACAAGUUGUUUGUCAUUUUCGUAUUCAUCAACUUAUGUUUUUUGUUGUUAGUGAUUAUUUAUCAUGUACCAAACAUCUUGGCUACAAAGUCAUAUUUAGUAGAGCAUUUUGGCGAUUGAUAAAGCUAGAGCUUCUACAACAUCAAGAUAUGAAUAUGAGAUAUUGAGCUCUAAAGUAAAAAUUUUAAAUUAGAGCUUCUAUAUUUGCUGCAAAAAAAAAAGUUAUUUGAAAUGUUUGGAUACAAUGUAUCUUGUCAUGAAACCACCGAAUUAGCACUUCGUUAAGCAACAACAAAUAAUCAGUACUAGGGAUAGUUUUUAUUCAUCGUCGCAUUCCUCGCCAAUGAUUCUCUCCACUGUGCCAUGAUCUCUGUGGUUAUCAACAAGUUGUUUGUCAUUUUCGUAUUCAUCAACUUAUGUUUUUUGUUGUUAGUGAUUAUUUAUCAUGUACCAAACAUCUUGGCUACAAAGUCAUAUUUAGUAGAGCAUUUUGGCGAUUGAUAAAGCUAGAGCUUCUACAACAUCAAGAUAUGAAUAUGAGAUAUUGAGCUCUAAAGUAAAAAUUUUAAAUUAGAGCUUCUAUAUUUGCUGCAAAAAAAAAAGUUAUUUGAAAUGUUUGGAUACAAUGUAUCUUGUCAUGAAACCACCGAAUUAGCACUUCGUUAAGCAACAACAAAUAAUCAGUACUAGGGAUAGUGUUAACGGACUUCGAACGACGAGUAAAAACCAAAGUAAAAAGAAACAAAAAGAUGAAGAUAAAGAUUGAACAGAAAAUUUGGGAAAAAAAAAAGGAAAAUAAAAAAUGUGAGCUCAGCAAUUGCAUUGUCAUCCUGUUUAUCUCAGUUGAUUGUGCAGGACCACUGCACACAAUGCGUCUCUUCACAGCUCCGUAAGAGUGUUGUAUUCACAAUAUCAUAUAGUUUAAAAAGCUGAAGAUACAGUCGAUGUGGGACUAAAAGUUCCACUAAUCGAGACUAAUCAUUGUCUACACCAGGUGCAUCCGUAUAUCUGUGCACCGCUCCGCCCACAUAUUAUUAUAAAUUUGUAGCUUAAUCUCAUAAUCUUAUUAACAAAAACCCCACACACACAACACACACAACAACAAAAAAAAAAAAAAAAAAAAAAAAAAAAAAAUCUGCAACUCACAGAAUGGCAGGCGAUGGAUUCGAAAACGAUGCACCAUUUUUUUCUGGCGAGAGAAUAAAAGAAAAUUUUAGGUUUACAACAAAGUUUGAAGUAAUAUAAUUUAUUUUUUUAUGAUUAAAUUCUAUUUUAUUUUAGAUAAAAGGUUUUAGUUAUUGAAGUUGAAAAUUAGGUUUGGUUGGACAUGUUCUAGCCAUUUUUCAGAGUUUAAUGUCUAUUUUCUUUUUAGGAAUUUGAUAUGUUUCUUUUGUUUGGGCCUUUGGAUCUUGAAUUUUAGGGCUUUUAUUUUUAUCUCUUCAAUAUGGAGAAAAUCUAUUGUUACCAAUCUUAUCUGUAUUGAUGUAGCCCGUUAGCACUAAUAAUUUAUUGGAUCCAAAUCGCUGGCAAUUCUAGUGUGUCGGUUUAAGUCUCGACCUCCUCGUUAGAUAGCCCCAAUCAUUUAGACCUUAAUAUCCUCAUCAUUCCGACCUAAUUACAUAUAUAGCUUUAGAUUAUCAAGUGAUGUGAGGUCUAUCUUAUAUUUCUGGCUGUUGAAUUGGCUCUAAUAUUAACUGUAAUAAUCUAAUCCACUAACACUAAUAAUUUAUUGGACUCAAACAACUGAUCCAAAAUGCUUAAAUUCAAUUAUUAAUUCUAGUAUACUUAUUAUGUAUAUAAUCCUUUCACAUUCUCUCACAUUAUCCGAUGCAGGGCUAUUGAAAUGCCACAUUAUAUAAUUUAGUUAGUUAAGAACUUGCUGAUUAAUAUUCGAUGCCUCAAAUUCAAAGUCUAAUUGUUUCAUAUUUUUAGCUGAAUUUAUUUAUUUUUAACCAAUAUAAACAAAGCAGAUAGUUUGUUAUCUUUCUCCCAUUAUUACUCAAAUGUACAACGAAUUAAACUACAAACUUUUUCAAGAAAAGAAUUAAGAAAUUUGGGGCAAAUUAGAAGAGAGGUAGGUUUUAAGGCAUAAGAUGAACAUGGAUCUUCCACAAUUUAAGUCAAAUCACCAUUAAUAUCAUAACCUCAUUUCAAUUAUACCAUAAGCUUAUAUCAUAUAUAAUUUAUUGCUAAAUCAGCUUAACGACUAACUAACUAAUUAAUUAAUAGUUGUUGUUUGCUAACUAAUGGUGAUGUUUCAACAUAUUCCACAAUACACCUACAAAGUAUUGUUGCUAUCACUAGAGCAAAAAAAAAUAUCUAAAUUCUAGUUAAGUACAGCAAUAUAUAUUAUGACAAUGUUUGACAAAAAAAAAAAUAAAAAUAAAAAUAAAAAUAAAAAAAAAUCUAACAUUUUAUUUUACAAUAAUUUAAUGGCAAAAUAUUUCAAAUCAUACAUCUUUUUUUAUUGAAAAAUCUACAAUUAAUGCAUCACAUAUGCAUAACUUGUAGAUGCCUCAACAGACGAAAAAAUAUUACUAAUAACACAUACUAUGUUACUGAAGUGCAACAUAUCGGAUUGUUGGCACUAAUCAUUUUAAAAGCUCGAAAUGUUAGAAAUAUACAAUCAAUUCACUUAAAGUGUAUAGAUGUAGUGCUUAUGGGUCUCGAUUGUGACUCGAUCCAAUCAAUCUCACGCCACUUCAACAUGACUCGGUCCAAUCUGACAUCCUGCCAUUUUGAACAUGACUCGGUCCAAUCUGACCUCCUAUCAUAAGGUAAAAUGUUAACCCAUUUAAGCCAACACAACACAGUUUGACUAAUUCUCUCCAACUAAUGAUUAGUUAGGCAAAAAUUGCAAAGUUUUAAUUAGUCUAUUUCUGAUUUAGCCAAUUUGGAUAUGCAUGAUAUGAUGUGAUAGACAAACAAGUGUUUAAUUGGCCUUUUGUUGCCACAAACAAUGUGGGUCUAAUUCAAAUAUUGAGCUCCUAAAACUAGAUUUGGUGAUUUAGUGCAUUUAGAUUCACAUUAGCCCCAACCUCAAUCCAGUAUGGUUAAAUGGGUUCAAAUUUAAACAACACUCAAUGGCUUCUGGAUUAGGAUUCCAACUUUUUUUUUUAGAGGAAAAUAACACUUUAUUCGUCUCAUUCGUUAGGAAACAUGAACUUAGCAAUAGAUGUAAGACGCGGGGAGCAAAACUUUGUCUAAACCGUCUAUUCAUGAAUUGUGCCUGUGUCAAAUACUUGAUUUUUCAUCUACUACUUAAUCCUGAUGCAAUAUUAAGCAACAGACGAUAGGAGAUCUUUGAAAAGCUUGUCGAAUGCAGACAGAUACUACGAGAAGGAGUAAAGACUUUCUCACGGUUACUGUUGUCUUGUAGCUCGUGUAGCCAAAGAGAAAUAAUAGAAUAUUCCGAAAUUUGAAAAAUAAUAAGACCGUAUCCUAAGCGAAAUUCGUAAUUUAAGAGCGCUUUGGAAAGAUCACUGUAGUAGCGGAAGUCAGUAGAUGUAUCAUUGUUUGCAAAAUGUAGUUUUUAUUUUAUUUUUGGUUUUGAUUUUUGCUUUUUGUUCGCCGUUUGUUAUAGUUUCUCAAGGCCAUAUUGCCUCACUUAUUUAACCUAAUUUAUAUUUUUAUUAAAUAAAGCGGAUAACACAUUAUUUGUAACAGUUGAUAAAUAUUUCUCUCCCAAGUUUAGAUGUCUCAGUUGUGAAUCUUGGUUGAUGUAGAUGUUAAUAAUUCAUGAACAUCUAACUAAAAAAAACUUUAAUAAAUAAAAUAAAAGAAUCAUGUGUUACUAAAAGGUGUCGGUGGAUAUAAAUUUUUUUUUUCUUUUUUCAGUGGCUUGAACUAUAGUUGGAAGAAGCUUACAAAUCAAAAGUCAAAAAAGCAAAUAUGUUCCCACCAUGGGCAAAAUUGUAAAAUCACUUGUUAUUUUAUGUUUGCACUAAUAAUUAUGCAUAGUGCUAUCCUAGGUGGUGACCACCUGAGUUAAAAAAAGAAAUAUUUUCAUAUAUCAUCCUUAUAGUUUUAUAUUUUCUCACUUUAGUACCAUAUGAUGUAAAGUAUAUUAAUUUAAUAUCCUGUGGUUUUAUUUUUAUCUUUUUAUUAUUGAUUUUACUAAUUUUUUUCGUUAAAUCAGUGACAGAGUUAAAACUAAAGAGUACUGAAGUGAAUAUUCAAUAAAUCUAGAUGAGGUAUCUGAAGUUUUUUGUAUAUAAUUUAACGAAAUAUUAACAGAAAAGUUGACGAAAAGAUAAAAAUGAAACCACGGGACACUAAUUUGAUACACUUUAAACCGCAAGACAUUAAAAUAAGAAAGUACAAAACCACAGGGUGGUAUUUGAAGUUUACCUAAAAAAU